rnacentral:piRNA from 1 species
UUGGUGCGGAGAACUAAAAGAGACUUAGCUG